rnacentral:rRNA from 1 species
GACGAACGCUGGCGGCGUGCUUAACACAUGCAAGUCGAACGGAAAGGCCCUGCUUUUGUGGGGUGCUCGAGUGGCGAACGGGUGAGUAACACGUGAGUAACCUGCCCUUUACUUUGUGAUAACUUCAGGAAACUGGGGCUAAUACCGGAUAGGAGCUCCUGCUGCAUGGUGGGGGUUGGAAAGUUUCGGCGGUUGGGGAUGGACUCGCGGCUUAUCAGCUUGUUGGUGGGGUAGUGGCUUACCAAGGCUUUGACGGGUAGCCGGCCUGAGAGGGUGACCGGCCACAUUGGGACUGAGAUACGGCCCAGACUCCUACGGGAGGCAGCAGUGGGGAAUAUUGCACAAUGGGCGGAAGCCUGAUGCAGCAACGCCGCGUGCGGGAUGACGGCCUUCAGGUUGUAAACCGCUUUCGCCUGUGACGAAGCGUGAGUGACGGUAAUGGGUAAAGAAGCACCGGCUAACUACGUG